GUAUUGUAUUGCGUUAAACGCGAUGUACAUUCCAUGAGACUUCAUCACAGUGUGUGUGUGUAAAGACAUAGAACCACAGCAGGAGGGCAGGGCCCCCACGCCAUAGAACUACAGAGGGUGCACAGGUGUGAGUGGAUGUGUAAACAGAGCGUGCACAUGCCCCCAUUUGAGGGCCAGCAACAACUCAUGUUGACAGUUCAGUAAUGAUCCUUCCGCAGGUUCACCUACGGAAA
rnacentral:misc_RNA from 1 species